rnacentral:rRNA from 1 species
GACGAACGCUGGCGGCGUGCUUAACACAUGCAAGUCGAACGGAAAGGCCCUGCUUUUGUGGGGUGCUCGAGUGGCGAACGGGUGAGUAACACGUGAGUAACCUGCCCUUGACUUUGGGAUAACUUCAGGAAACUGGGGCUAAUACCGGAUAGGAGCUCCUGCUGCAUGGUGGGGGUUGGAAAGUUUCGGCGGUUGGGGAUGGACUCGCGGCUUAUCCGCUUGUUGGUGGGGUAGUGGCUUACCAAGGCUUUGACGGGUAGCCGGCCUGAGAGGGUGACCGGCCACAUUGGGACUGAGAUACGGCCCAGACUCCUACGGGAGGCAGCAGUGGGGAAUAUUGCACAAUGGGCGGAAGCCUGAUGCAGCAACGCCGCGUGCGGGAUGACGGCCUUCGGGUUGUAAACCGCUGUCGCCCGUGACGAAGCGUGAGUGACGGUAAUGGGUAAAGAAGCACCGGCUAACUACGUG